rnacentral:rRNA from 1 species
AACGAACGCUGGCGGCAUGCUUAACACAUGCAAGUCGAACGGACUUAUGGUUCUCGGAUUAUAAGUUAGUGGCAGACGGGUGAGUAACGCGUGGGAACGUACCUUUUGGUUCAGAAUAACUACGGGAAACUGUAGCUAAUACUGGAUAAGCCCUUCGAGGGAAAGAUUUAUCGCCAAGAGAGCGGCCCGCGUUAGAUAGGGUAGUUGGGGGGGUAAAGGCCUACCAGGCCUACGAUCUAUAGCUGGGCCGAGAGGUUGAGCAGCCACACUGGGACGAGAACACGGCCCAAAUUCCAACGGAGGCAGCAGUGGGGAAUCUUGGGCAAUGGGCGCAAGCCUGAUCCAGCCAUGCCGCGUGAGUGAAGAAGGCCUUAGGGUUGUAAAACUCUUUCGCCGGAGAAGAUAAUGACGGUAUCCGGAGAAGAAGCCCCGGCUAACUUCGUGCCAGCCGCCGCGGUAACAC